rnacentral:misc_RNA from 1 species
AACGGUCUAUACCUGCGGUACCUGCGGAGGGAUCAUUACACAAUAAUAUAUGAAGGCUGCUCGCGGCUGGAGUAUUUAUUACCCUUGUCUUUUGCGCACUUGUUGUUUCCUGGGCGGGCUCGCCCGCCACCAGGACCACAUACAAACCUUUUUUAUGUAGUUGCAAUCAGCGUCAGUAUAACAAAUGUAAAUCAUUUACAACUUUUAGCAACGGAUCUCU